CCCUUAUGUAGAUUUUUCAAAACUGUGGAAUAUGACUUAGUUUUUUCUCUAUCGACUACUUUUGUAGUACAAUUACAUCGGGAUCGAAGUCGGGCUCGAAAAGCAAUUAAUUUAAAAACAACACACCGCGCCGAAAUUCAAUUUUUUGGAGGGUUCCACGCAGCCAUGUUGAACUUGAUCAUGAUAUUGUACGGGAGGAAGGGGCGAAAGAGAGUGACGCGAAAAGGAGAAGCAUGAUUAACUUUGGAUGGAAUUUAUGUAUUAACAGAAGAUGAAGACAUUUACAUGUACGACCCUGCAUUAUUAGCGGUGCAGUGUGGACUGUGCCUGAGACGAUUCCCCACAGCGCCGGCUAUGUAGACAGCUUGUGAAAAUGGAAUCCAAAUGCUCACAAGAAAUGACAAAAGCAGCAUGAAGAUAAACACAAA